CCCGCUGAACUUAAGCAUAUCAGUAAGCGGAGGAAAAGAAAACAACUGUGAUUCCCUAAGUAGCUGCGAGCGAAACGGGAAGAGCUCAAAACCGAAUCUGUCGAGUUUAAUUAUUCGGCCGAAAUGUGGUUUGCGGACAAAUCCUUGUCGUCGAUGUCGGUUAAAGUCUUGUUGGAACACAGCGCCAUAGAGGGUGAUAGCCCCGUUAAUCCGAUCGUCGGCGGCAAUCAAGGGUUUGAUUCCUAGAGUCGCACUGUUUGAGAGUACAGUGCUAAGUGGCAGGUGAGUACCUGUUAAAGCUAAAUAUUAGUUGGAGUCCGAUAGCAAACAAGUACCGUGAGGGAAAGUUGCAAAGAACUUUGAAAAGAGAGUUAAAAGAACCUGAAAUCGGUAACGGGGAAGGGCUCGGGCAACUCGCGGCCUCUGUAAGUUCUUUUUCCGAUUUCUGCCCGGAAUUUUCGAUUGAGUAACAUCUUUGUUAUCUGUCGGAUUUCGAGGGUGGGGAUCGGAGGAUUUAUUUUUGCAUGCCAGGCAAAUCCGUUUGUUGCCGACCGAACGGGGUCUCGGAAGGGUGUCUUCGGAGCGGGAAACUGUUCUGAAGUCCGAAGUCCGAGAUUUUCCGGUUGGCGACGAACGAUAAAAUUUUGUCGGCGCCUUUUUGGCUGGACUCCCGCAAAGUCGGUAGGCGGUGCAUCGAGGAUACAAGUUUCUUGUUUCCCCGGUGAAACGUUUACCUUACCGAACGGGGCCAUGUACGACAAUUUUUUGCCUUAGCCGAGGGACCCGAGCCUCCCGUCUUGAAACACGG
rnacentral:rRNA from 1 species